UGGAAACAGCCCUACUACUUAACACCACCAUACUACUUACACUAACAACCAUCCUUACACCUACCCUCCUUCCCCUCCUAUUAAAAAAUUUCCAAAACUCCCCCAAAACCAUUACCCUCACCAUCAAAGCUGCCUUCCUAAUCAGUCUAAUACCAAUAACACUCUUCAUGCAAUCAGGACUAGACAGUAUCACCUCACACUGAGAAUGAAAAUUCAUCAUAAACUUCAAAAUCCCAUUCAGCUUCAAAAUAAACCAGUACUCCAUACUAUUCUUCCCUAUUGCACUAUUUGUAACAUGAUCUAUCCUACAAUUUGCAACCUCAUACAUAGCCCCAGAUCCACACAUCACAAAAUUCCUCUCCUACCUAACAAACAACCUUCCUAAUCGCCAUACUAACACUAACCCUUGCCAACAAUAUAUUCCUCCUCUUCGUCGGCUGAGAAGGAGUCGGCAUUAUAUCCUUUCUACUAAUCAGCUGAUGAUACGGACGAACAGAAGCCAACACAGCAUCUCUGCCCUACUCCACUCAAGCACAGUAGUAGUCGCUGGAAUCUUCCUACUCAUCCUCUCCCACCCCUUACUCACCACCAACAAAACUGCCUUUACCCUAUGCCUCUGUCUAGGCACCCUAUCCACACUAUUUGCUGUCACGUGUUCUCACACAAAAUGACAUCAAAAAAAUUAUUGCUUUCUCCACAUCAAGCCAACUCGGGCUAAUAAUAGUCACCAUCAGACUCGACCUCCCACAACUAGCCUUCCUACACAUCUCAACCAUGCCUUCUUCAAAGCUAUAUUAUUCCUAUGCUCAGGAUCAAUCAUCUACAGCCUAAACAGAGAACAAGACAUCCGAAAAAUAGGGGGCCUGCAAAAAAUACUUGCAACAUCCACUUCCUGCCUAACCAUCGGAAAUCUAGCACUAAUAGGAACCCCAUUCCUAGUAGGGUUCUUCUCAAAAGACCUCAUCAUUGAAAACCUAAAUACAUCCCACCUAAAUGCCUGAGCACUCCUCCUAACCCUCCUAGCCACAACCUUCACUGCCACAUAUAGCCUAUGCAUAACCCUCCUAGUACAA
rnacentral:lncRNA from 1 species